rnacentral:rRNA from 1 species
CAGGAUGAACGCUAGCGGCAGGCUUAACACAUGCAAGUCGAGGGGCAGCGCGAGUAGCAAUACUUGGCGGCGACCGGCGCAAGGGUGCGUAACGCGUGAGCAACAUGCCCGUAUCAGGGGGAUAAUCCAGGGAAACUUGGUCUAAUACCCCAUAGUAAUUUUUGUAAGGCAUCUUAUAAGAUUUAAAGCUUUGGUGGAUACGGAUUGGCUCGCGUGACAUUAGCUGGAUGGUAAGGUAACGGCUUACCAUGGCUAUGAUGUCUAGGGGUUCUGAGAGGAAGGUCCCCCACACUGGAACUGAGACACGGUCCAGACUCCUACGGGAGGCAGCAGUGAGGAAUAUUGGACAAUGGAUGGAAAUCUGAUCCAGCCAUGCCGCGUGAAGGAAAGAAGGUCCUAUGGAUUGUAAACUUCUUUUGUAUGGGAGCAAUAAGGCCUACGAGUAGGUUGAUGAGAGUACCAUACGAAUAAGCACCGGCUAACUCCGUGCCAGCAGCAGC